GAGUUUGAUCAUGGCUCAGAGCGAACGUUAGCGGCGGGCUUAACACAUGCAAGUCGAACGCGAACGGCCCUUCGGGGCUUAUUAGAGUGGCGCACGGGUGAGUAACGCGUAGGUAAUCUACCCCCCGGCGGGGGACAACUAUCCGAAAGGGUAGCUAAUACCGCAUAAGACCACAUUGUCUUCGGGCAGAGUGGGAAAAGGUGGCCUCUUCUUGAAAGCUACCACCGGAGGAUGAGCCUGCGUCCCAUCAGCUAGUUGGUAAGGUAACGGCUUACCAAGGCGAAGACGGGUAGCUGGUCUGAGAGGAUGAUCAGCCACACUGGCACUGGAACACGGGCCAGACUCCUACGGGAGGCAGCAGUGAGGAAUAUUGGGCAAUGGGCGCAAGCCUGACCCAGCCACGCCGCGUGAGUGAUGAAGGCCUUCGGGUUGUAAAGCUCUGUGGGGAGGGACGAAAAAGCCAGUUCGAAUAGGUCUGGAAAUUGACGGUACCUCCUUAGCAAGCACCGGCUAACUCUGUGCCAGCAGCCGCGGUAAGACAGAGGGUGCAAACGUUGCUCGGAAUUACUGGGCGUAAAGCGCGCGUAGGCGGACCGGCAAGUCGGUUGUGAAAUCCCUGGGCUCAACCU
rnacentral:rRNA from 1 species